UGGAGAUGCAGCUCAGUGGCAGAGUGCCUGCCUAGCAUGCAUGGAGUCCUGGGUUUGAUCCCCAGCACUGCAA
rnacentral:tRNA from 1 species